GGGCCAGUAGCAUAAUGGAUAAUGCAUCUGACUUCGGAUCAGACGAUUGUAGGUUCGAGUCCUACCUGGCUCG